rnacentral:rRNA from 1 species
UACAGAGGGUGCAAGCGUUAAUCGGAAUCACUGGGCUUAAAGCGUUCGUAGGCGGGUCUGCAGGCGCGUUGUGAAAGCCCUCGGCUUAACCGGGGAACUGCGUCUGAUACUGGAUGGCUUGAGUUUGGGAGAGGGAUGCGGAAUUCCAGGUGUAGCGGUGAAAUGCGUAGAUAUCUGGAGGAAUACCGGUGGCGAAGGCGGCAUCCUGGACCGGCAUUGACGCUGAUGAGCGAAAGCUAGGGGAGCAAACGGGG